AAACUGUCUCAGAUUGUUUUGUACAACAUUUGAAUAGAAAUGUUGUUAUAUUUCCAUUCAGACCAAAUUCCUGCUGUGGAAUUUUUCAGUAUGGCUGUCUCUGUGGAACAGAGACAUCUGCCAUGUUCCCAUCCCUAUUUACAGGGCUCUGAAUGGCUUCCCCUUUUCCCCAAUAUUUUUGGUCCUUAUUUUUAAUUGCCAUUCUUUUAUUUGGUCACACACAUUCAUGUAAUAGAAGGCAAGUACAAACUGAUUUAAUAUUACCAAUGCAGAAAGAUCUGGCAAGACUUGGUCUUGUUUAACCUUCCAAACUAAAGGUUAGCAAGUAAUAUAGCUUCUCCAUAUAAAUGCAUAAGGACAGACAUGUCAGGGAAAGGAGAAAAUAUUCACUGAGUGAAGAUGAUUUAAACUGAAAGACAAAAUUGGCAAAAAAUCCCAAACCACCUCAUGUAAAAGAAUUUAGCUAAGAAAACUUUUAACCAUAUGAGAAGCAAAUUUAUGGAGACUAAAGGGAAUAGAAGCAUAUAUUUAGGAUGGAACAUGAUCAGUUUAUAAAAGACUUACAUGAUAGAGUAGUAUAGGAUAAAACCCAGAAAUUUUUGAAUGUUUUGUGCCUUAUUCAAACUUUAUGGAAGUAUACAGAAGUCAUCUCAUUUGCUACAAAUCCAAUAUGUCAAAGGAUCACAGCACUACUGCCACCCACCACAUCAAUAUUGGCAUGGAUGAAUAUUUUGCUAAAAUAUAUCUGCAUGAUGAACUGAAUCUUUGAUGAUUGAAUCCUGGGUAAACAUGAACCAGAAAAGCUGAGACAUAGACUCAUUCCUAAAAAGGUUGAGGUUUGCCUUAUAAAGUGUCUACGCUAAGCUGAAACCAAACUACCUCUUAGCUGGCAACAUUAAUCCUAGACUUUUGGAAUUUUAGUUUGAUCUGCGGAUGUGGUUUCUACAAAUUGGCUCAGGAAGGUGUCUUUGACUCCCAGGUGACACCUGCUGUCAAAGAUGGGCUGUCUUCUGGAAUUAUCAUUGUGAGAGAGAAUAGCUGAACAGCGACGUAACAUUUUAGGGUGCUUGGAUGAUCACUGUGGCUGGUGGUGUGAUUUGUGCUGGACAGCUGGUCACUCUUGUGCCUGGUACCAAAAGGGAAAUGGUGUUGCUCCCAUGUGAGGAGUUAAAUACCUGCUCUUUGCUGCUCUCCUUGCACUCAUCACUCAUUGAAUGAUGUCUAGAAAAGAUUUUUACACCAUUUCCUGUCUUUAAAAAUACAUCCCAUCCUCAGUAGUGGCUACAUGCAAUACAUACUAGCCCAAAAAGUCUGCAAGGCAGAAAUUAUUGUGCUAUUUUCUUAGCAUAUUUUCUUACUCACCUCUGUGGAUUGAAGGUAACUUUAAAUGUUGUAGCACACAGAAGUCAGCCAGGUAAGCCUCCAUGUGCUAUAAAGGGUACAAACAGAGAAGUCACUCUCUGCACUAAAAAGAUGAUGUAUGAGACAUAUGUGCCCAGAGGGAGAGAAAGCAAAGAGGAGCACAUCAUUGUGCUCGUCUGAAUGCUUGUGCAUAAUUUCUGCAAAGCAGUUCAGCUUCAGCAGAAAUGAUGGGAAGGCAUCACUGGGACCAGCCUGUACUUGUACUCUUUGCUCAGGUUGGUGGGCAGACGUCUGAGACCUGCUGAUCACCAUAGGAUGGUCUGGCCACACUUGGGCUGUGGCUGACCCUCGUCCCUGUCCCUUUACCUCCUGUGCUUUUCUGGCUUUGUGCUAUGAGACAUGAGAAGUUGUGGAUGCCCCAUCCCUGGAAGUGUUCAAGGCCAGGUUGGAUGGGGCUCUGAGAACCUGGUCUAGUGGAAGGUGUCCCUGUUCAUGGCAGCAGGGUUGGGACGAGAUAGUCUUUAAGGUCCCUUUCAGCCCAAACUAUUGUGUGAUUCUAUGAUUCUAUGAUCACCAUGUUGGGAAGGGCACUGCCCUUGCCGUCACUGUCACCCUCAGCCCCCAUCUCUCCUGCCCUUGCCACACCACUGCCUGACACUGAGGGACAUCUCAACCUAUACGUUGGUUUUAGGUGUAUGUACGUGUGUUAAAAAUUACCCUGCUGACUUGAACACUUCGGUGAGGAUGAGUGAUGUUCUUUUCUCACAAGGAACAGACUCAAAUGACUACUCACUGGUUGCCCUAUGGCACGGUCCUCAGUACAACAUUUUAGAGGAGCCAGCUUUACCAUCUGCAACUAAGGGCAGCUGCUGGCCACACUCUGCCGUGGGCUGUCCAUGCCCAUGGGCUCAGGGCGACACCGGGGGCAUUAAUACACAAGCACCCCCGGGUUUAUGAGGUGAGGUCUUUAGUAUUUGUGCUGCUUUCCACUUGAUGGCAGCAGAGCCCACAGCAACGGGUGCGGGCAGGUCUGUGUGCGGAUCUCUGGUUGUUAGUGAUGGGGAAUGGCAGGCGAUGAGUCCUCACGGCAGAAACGCGGCUCUUGAAAAGAAUAUUAAGUAUAUUUCGAUAAUAUGGAUUUGGAUAAUUUGGAUGUAUGGGUAAUAAUAUGGAUUGCAAAUGUAAUGGUGGUGAGACCAGCUCUGACAAGAACUGGAGUGCUCCUGCCUAUUUCCAGAAGCAAGAGGCAUAAAUACAGAGUCUUUUGCAAGAGAUGAAAUCUCCACCACUGUAACUAUGUAUGAGACCAGGUUUUCUCAAAUUUUCUUAAAAAAUUCAGUAGCUUGGGAGAAUAUUUCAUAUUUCAGGUUAGUUUUGUCUGCUUUCAGUACAAACGAUUUGUUCUGAAUUUCAGUGUAAUGUGCAAAUAGAAAGCAGCCAGAAGUUUAUAAUUUCUGAGGCUGAGCCAGUUUUCGGCAUCCACUUUACAAUUGUUUUCAGGGAGGUGUCCACAAAAGAAGCAAAAUGAGAAGAAUUUCAGAGAAUAAAUAGAGAAAUGCAGCAAGCACAUAGAUUUACAGAAAGAAUAUUUUCUGCAAGGUAAUCAGCUACUCUGUAGGCAAGUCAGGCUUUUAAUUAGGUCUGUAGUUGCAGGUGUUUCCUAAGAGCCUAAUCAGCUUUGGGGGAAAAUAUUAUUUGGGGCAAACUAGAGAAACUUAAACUUUUCUUGGCUCUAUCUCCCACAUUUCACCUCGCAGCUGCAUAAUUUACUGUGGUGGUUUUUUUAACUCUUUUGGCAUAGUGCAAGGUCUGAAAUGGAGACUGGUCUUGUUCUUGUCUUUGCUCCAAGGUUAAAUGAACAGAAAUAGUACAUAUAUUUUUCAAAUCAUAUCAGACACUAGUAUAAAAGUGAUCAUCUUCUUGGAAAUGUUUGCCAUUGCUAUUCAAUGGCUCUUCAUUUUCCUGCCAGGAUAAGUAAUAUAUUUUAAAAAGAUUAAUUUCUCAUUGUAAAGUUAUAUACUCUGUAAACUGAAGAAAAGAGUCAAAAUGUCAACUGCUUUGGACAUUUCUGUUUUGUUAAUUCUGGUGGAAUUGCAGGUGCCAUGAUUUCUGCUGCUUGAAAAGCAGGGCAGAAAAACUUAGUGGAGGAAAUUGGAAGUUACCAGAAAGCCCACCUACAGCUUUCCCUGACAAGUCACUUUCUGAAAAUGUUUGCUCUUUUUGAAACAAUAUGCCACCCCACCAUCUUGUGUCCCUUAAAAAGCACAUAAACCCUAGAAAAAUAAAGCCAUGAUAAAAAGCACUUUCUUACAAAAAUCAAAGAGGUAAACAGAUGGGCGUAUUAGCCCUUGUCUUUUCUUGCCUCUGUUUGUCUUUCAAAUGGAAUUCUGGUGUUUCACAUACUGCAGGGGCCAUAGAAGGAGUUAGCAGGAAUAGCAGUGAUAUUCAAGACUGUGAGUUACUUACUUUCCAGAUCUUCAUCUGUUUUUCAUGAGAAAGGCUCAAGGUAAUGAAGUAAGACCCUACAGAGUGGACAUCUCACUCCAGUUUCCUUGUCUUUUUUUUUUUUUUUUUAACGUGCUUCAAGUCCCUUACAGGACUAACUUUACAGAAACUUUGAGAGCUUAUGGGAUGUGUUGGUGGGAUGGUGAACUGCCAGAGGCACUGGAGAGAGGCAGAGAGAAUGAUGCUCACUUUCUUUCUCCAAACCUUUUAAAAAUUCCUGCUUCCACAGCUGAACGACACUGGGAGAGCAAAACCUGCCAAGCCGAUUUUACAUGUGACAAUCAAAGGCAAGGACUCUUGACAGGAGCCUUUUAAUGAAUCCAUGUGAGAUGGAUGUGGUUUCCUUCACUGGAGAGAGAAGAGUCUCACAACAUCUCACAAAGAUCCCUUCUAAUAGAGAUGUCUGAUGUAUUCCCCAGUGAAUGACACAGCCUUGCCCACAGAGAAGCAUAAAGCUGAAUGGGGAAUAACAGCACUUUGGCACAACUUCUUAGCAUCUUCUUUUGUCUCCUUGUGCCACACGCAGAGAUGAAGACUCUCCAAGGAUUGAUGUCAGUUGUCUCCAAUCAAUGUGCAGCAAACGUGGCUGAGAAGGAAUCUUUGUCCUACUUUUAGUUAGAGAACUUCUGCUUGUCUCUUCCAUUCUCAAGGCAGGAAUAUCCAUCUGACCUUCAGCUGCACUUGUGGGGAGCAAGAGAGCCAUAGGUAAGCAGUGUCUGGAAUAACAGAGGUAAAGAAAUUCAACAGAUAUGAUUUGAGGACUGAGAGAAUGACACAGCAGAGACUGACAUGGGACCGAGGAGAAAGGACUCAAAGCUACCUUCCUGGACUUUGUGAGGAGAAAGGACUUCAGCAAACAGCUGAAGGUUGGUUGGGGGGAGUGUUCAGGGGCCCCGAACACUCCCUCGAGAGAGAGACUGUGUUACAUAUCAGCCUUGAAAGGCUUCUCCUGGACUUAAGUUAAAGGGAGGGGCUUAAAGGACUGAUAGAAGUGUAAUACUAUAUAUAUAUAGUUGCCUUUAGUUUGUAUAGUAUUUAUUUGUGUAAAUAAAUGUAUAUACUUCCCCUUCCCCCUAUAGAAGCCUCUGGCCUGAAAGUUUCUCUCCGGUGUUAGGAUAAAUUGUGGGAAGGGGUGGGGGGAAGCCUAGAAAUUGGAUUCUGGAUUUCUAAUGUGGCUCAAACUGCCACACACAGUUAAUCAGAUGGCAGUGCCUUUCCCCAAAAAUGUGGAAAACAAUCCAGUUUCAGAACUAGUAUCAGAAGAUUUUUAACAGAAAUGGAAAUAUAAACCCUAUAGCAGGUCAAUAAUGCUAAGACAAUCCCAGGUGGAGGCAAAAAACUGGAAUCCUUUAUUGGACAUACAGGCUGAUAUUUUAAGGUUCUGGGGUCUACAUAUUCAUGGGGGUGCUGAGCUAUUACAAACAGGGGGUUUUACAAGGAUGAGGUAAGGGAAAAACCCAAGUUACACCUUUUGGGUUUAGCACAUCAUGGGGAAAAACUACUUAUUUUAGGAUUACAUUUUUGGGGAUUUACAUGGGGGAGAGAUAUCCAAUGUUUACAGAAUACACAGGAUACACAGAGAGGGGGAAAACAACAAUGGAUUUUGUGCAGAGGCUUGAUAACAUCACAGCAUAGUCUCUCUGUAUCUUGGCAGGACAUUCCAAACAGGAGACAUCCUGUUUGGUCCUCAAAUGCAGGUUUUUUCCCCAGCUUUUGUAGCCCAAGGUUUCUGUUUAAACCCAGCAGUUUCUUUUUCUGAUAUCCAACUUUUCAGACUCCAACAAAACCCCAGAUUAUUUGCCAGGGUAAUUAGGAGAAUAA